AACCUGCAUCGCCCUGAGGAAACAGCAGCAUCCCAGUUGUAUGCUGCUGUGCCUGAAGGUUUUGAAGCCCAGGUUGCCCGCCUGGUGGAAAUGUUUCUGGCGGAGGCAUACAGGUGCAAGCUCUGCCAGUUGACAAGCAGCAUCAAAAGUAAGAUCAAGACGCACCUGGCUUAUAUGCAUGAAACAGAUCCAGCGUGUCAAGUUUCAGGCUGUCCUAAAAUGGACCAAGAUGAAAAUGAGUCUUAUAGCAUGGGAGAUGAAGCUAACCAAGAAAAUAAAGAAAACGAAGAAAAUCGUGCAAAAAAGAUCUGUUUUAUUACCUGUGUGUCAGAUACUUCAAAAUAUGAGUCCUCCCUGUUGUGACAUGAGCCCAAGCAGUCAGAGCAAUAAUCCUCACGCCUCUCACUCCUGUGAGUGAACACCUUGUUUGGAGAAGCAGCAGCUCAUUUGCAGCUUGAGGAGCCCUGUUCUGCAGUGCCGACUUCUCUUUCAUAUUCCAAGAGCAAAGAUGAAGCAGCAGCCCAGUCUGUGCAUCUUGGCCUCUGUUGUGUUUCCAGUGUUAGAACUCAGACCUUAGCUGGGGAGAUGAAAACCCUUAAAGCUGAAUCAAGGUGUAAAAAAUUACAAAAAUCAGAAGACAGCUAGAUGUGACAGUAAAGGGUUAGCUCAUCCUGUGAAAGAUGCUUGCGCUUUAAAGCUGGGUUCUGAGAGAACGCAGCGUUUCCACAACGCGUGCGAUGUAGCAAUGAAGUCGAAAGAUACUCAUAAAAUCCAUGAAAAUGGUCAUGAUGUGGAUUGUGGCUUUAAAUGCGUUUAUUGUCCCGUGACUGAGUGGGACUUAAUGGGAAAUCAUUUAAAAUCACACAAGUGGAUAAAAGAAACCUACCAGUGCCUCAUCUGUGAAAGUGGUUUUAUGUCACAAAGUGCCUGGAAAGUGCACAGAGACAGCCAUCAGAGGAAACCCCAUCUCUUUCAGUGCACAAUGCAUUCAUCAUCUUUCGAAACUGAGCGGAUAAGAAAUCUUCAUGUAGCUUGCCAUUAUCAGGAUAUGUUUAAAUGUCCACACAGUGAUUUUACCAGUCAUGUGACAUCUAGACUGUUUAGGGUCACUGGCUUCAGCUCCGUUAUGACAUCCUAACAUACACUGUGUUGGUGAUGAUGUAUUGACCACUGAACCACUCUGAAGCAUAGAGCUGGUGUACACUGCAUGGAGGGUCAGGUGCUCAAAACCAGAUGUCAGAUGAAUGGACAUAACAAAUGAAUCCAUGAGGAAAAAAAAAGAAAUGAAAAACAAAUGAAAGACGAAAGAAGGCUGAAGAUAAUCCUGUGUGCUCUAACACAAAAGCAACUAGAAAGAAGGAUUCAAGUUAAUUUGCAUGUAGUACCAACGGUGAGAAGCCUUUCAAAUGUGAGAUCUGCUCUUACGCCUCCAUUGAUGCAAGGUCUCUGCAGCAGCACUUCCCAGCAUGCGCUAGUGAGAGGCCCUACAAAUGUUGACUCUGUUCAUAUAGUUGCAUUCGGAAGAAGAGCUUCGACCUUCACAUAUGCCGACAUCACACUGGUGAGGCAUUUGGCCAUAGUUUUUGCUGCUAUUCUUCCCCUGACAAACAACUUCUCCGAAAACACGUUAAGAAAUAUCACCUGGGUUCAGGAACCUCAUUAACCAGUUCCCAGCCCACCUUUACCCUCAAAUCACUUCUGUGGAACAUUAGGUUCUUCACGCUUAAAAUUCCACCAGAGCAUCCCGGCAAAUAAAGAAGCUGUUGGCAUUGUCGAACUUUUGUGCUGAAAGCCAGGGAAGAAGAGAAGAAGAGGUCCUUAUGUGACAAUUGGAAGCACUUAGGAUGGUCUUCCCAAAAAGCUUGGCGUGCGUUAUUGUAGAGGUGGUAACUCCAAUGUGCUGAGAGGAGCGUGGAGAUUUAUGUUGCGUCAGGGGUGGACAUGUUGAUUUUUGUUGUGGUUACCUCUUGCUGAUAUAGUCCGCUUACUUACAAAUGAAGAGUUUGACGUUUCAAGGCAGAAUCUGUUGAAAUGUACCAUAGCUGACAGUGAACCCUGCAGGUGGUUUCUAUACUACACCUUUCAUUUUUAAUACAGGUCCCUAUAUAAAACAGUAAAUGAUUCAAGAAAAUCUACUGAUGGUGUAACACUCAUAAUAUGGUAAAAAAAAUCCAUUAAAUUUCUUCAUGGUUAUUUUGUAUAACAGAAUGUGUCUAUUAUCAUAAGCUAAUCCAGUGUUGAAGUAAAAAUAGAAACUAUUG